rnacentral:rRNA from 1 species
AGUGAACGCUGGCGGUAGGCCUAACACAUGCAAGUCGAACGGCAGCACAGUAAGAUCUUGCUCUUACGGGUGGCGACUGGCGGACGGGUGAGGCAUACAUCGCCAUCUACUUUUUCGUGGGGGAUAACGUAGGGCAACUUACGCUACUACCUCAUACGUCCUACGGGUUAAAGCAGUAGUUCUUCGCACCUUUCGCGUUUCUAUGAGCCGAUGUCGGAUUAGCUAGUUGGCUGGGUAAAGGCCCACCAAGGCGACGAUACGUAGCUGGUCUGAGAGGAUGAUCAGCCACACUGGAACUGAGACACGGUCCAGACUCCUACGGGAGGCAGCAGUAGGGAAUAUUGGGCAAUGGGCGAAAGCCUGAUGCAGCCACGCCGCGUGAGUGAAGAAGGCCUUCGGAUUGUAAAGCCCUGUUAUUGGGGAAGAAAAGAAGCAGAAGAAUACACCGAUGUUCUGACGGUACCCAAAGAAAAAGCAACGGCUAACUUCGUG